rnacentral:rRNA from 1 species
AGACGUCUACAUUAGAUACCCCUGUAGUCCCAGCCGUAAACUAUGCGCGUUAGGUGUAUCGGUGACCACGAGUCACCGAGGUGCCGAAGGGAAACCGUGAAACGUGCCGCCUGGGAAGUACGGUCGCAAGGCUGAAACUUAAAGGAAUUGCGGGGGGGCACCACAACGGGUGGAGCCUGCGGUUUAAUUGGACUCAACGCCGGGAAGCUCACCGGAUAAGACAGCGGAAUGAUUGCCGGGCUGAAGACUCUGCAUGACUAGCUG